rnacentral:rRNA from 1 species
GACGAUCGCUGGCGGCGGGCUGAACACAUGCAAGUCGAACGGAAAGGCCCUGCUUUUGUGGGGUGCUCGAGUGGCGAACGUGUGAGUAACACGUGAGUAACCUGCCCUUGACUUUGGGAUAACUUCAGGCAACUGGGGCUAAUACCGGAUAGGUGCUCCUGCUGCAUGGGGUGGGUUGGAAAGUUUCGGCGGGUGGGGAUGGACUCGCGGCUUAUCAGCUUGUUGGUGGGGUAGUGGCUUACCAAGGCUUUGACGGGUAGCCGGCCUGAGAGGGUGACCGGCAAGAUUGGGACGGAGAUACGGCCAAGACUCCUACGGGAGGUAGCAGUGGGGAAUAUUGCAGAAUGGGCGGAAGCGUGAUGCAGCAACGCCGCGUGCGGGAUGACGGCCUUCGGGUUGUAAACCGCUUUCGCCUGUGACGAAGCGUGAGUGACGGUAAUGGGUACAGAAGCACCGGCUAACUACGUG